rnacentral:rRNA from 1 species
AAGGGUGCGUAGGCGGCCUGUUAAGUCAGGGGGUGAAAGACGGUAGCUCAACUAUCGCAGUGCCCUUGAUACUGAUGGGCUUGAAUUGACUAGAGGUAGGCGGAAUGUGACAAGUAGCGGUGAAAUGCAUAGAUAUGUCACAGAACACCGAUUGCGAAGGCAGCUUACUAUGGUCUUAUUGACGCUGAGGCACGAAAGCGUGGGGAUCAAACAGGAUUAGAUACCCUAGU